GUGCCAGCAGCCGCGGUAAUACGGAGGGUGCGAGCGUUAAUCGGAAUUACUGGGCGUAAAGGGCGCGUAGGCGGUCGCGCAAGUCGGGUGCGAAAGCCCCGGGCUCAACCUGGGAAUUGCAUUCGAUACUGCGUAACUAGAGUCUGGUAGAGGGAAGCGGAAUUCCGCAUGUAGCGGUGAAAUGCGUAGAUAUGCGGAGGAACACCAGUGGCGAAGGCGGCUUCAUGGACCAAGACUGACGCUGAGGCGCGAAAGCGUGGGGAGCAAACAGGAUUAGAUACCCUGGUAGUCCACGCCCUAAACGAUGAGGACUAGACGUUGGGGGGAUAAAACCCUUUAGUGUCGCAGCUAACGCGUGAAGUCCUCCGCCUGGGGAGUACGGCCGCAAGGUUGAAACUCAAAUGAAUUGGCGG
rnacentral:rRNA from 1 species